rnacentral:rRNA from 1 species
GACGAACGCUGGCGGCGUGCUUAACACAUGCAAGUCGAACGGUGAAGCGCCUUCCUUUUUGGUGGGUGUGGAUGAGUGGCGAACGGGUGAGUAACACGUGAGUAACCUGCCCCCUUCUUCUGGAUAACCGCAUGAAAGUGUGGCUAAUACGGGAUAUUCUGGGUCUGUCGCAUGAUGGGUCUGGGAAAGAUAUUGUUUCGGUGGGGGAUGGGCUCGCGGCCUAUCAGCUUGUUGGUGGGGUGAUGGCCUACCAAGGCGGUGACGGGUAGCCGGCCUGAGAGGGUGGACGGUCACACUGGGACUGAGUCACGGCCCAGACUCCUACGGGAGGCAGCAGUGGGGAAUAUUGCACAAUGGGCGCAAGCCUGAUGCAGCGACGCCGCGUGAGGGAUGGAGGCCUUCGGGUUGUGAACCUCUUUCGCCAGUGAAGCAGGCCUGCCUCGUUUGUGGGUGGGUUGACGGUAGCUGGAUAAGAAGCGCCGGCUAACUACGUG